CAUUUUCCCCUGACAGCGGCUUCGGAGAUGGCUGUGACUGUCCUAAGCUGGGAGCUGCAAGGGAGAAUUCCUGUCAUUCCUGGCCUCAGCUCUGCAGGGACCGAGGGCGAGGCACGCCUGGGCCUAGGUGUGGCGUCUCUGUCCCCGUCUGGUUUUAGGUAACAAGCGGAGCUUCUGAACCUCCCGGCUCUCGGCAGCGGCUGUAUUUCCUCUGGCCUGCUUGGGCUUUUCCCGCCUCUGGUUGCUUUUCUGCCUUUCUAGUUUUUGGGUUACCAGAUAGAAGGCUUGGCCUCAGUUUUGGCCUCGCCUUUCUAACGAGCAAGAAGAGGGCGAUAGGGACGCGGAGGACACCUUUGUUCUUGGCUGCUUCUAGCAUAUUGCUUCAUGUCCCCUGGAGCAGCGUGCCCUUUUGAAAACCUGUGGCAAAAUGUCUCUUCUGUUUAUAUCAGGCGUGUUACACCUCCACACGCAUUAGGGAUCCAGGUAAGCCCAGCGGCCCGAACGUCAUUACUGACUGGUGACACUGCACUUUCCUGAAGACAUGAACCAUUUAUCCCAGACAAAAUAUGACCAACACAGAUUCCUGCUUACAAUUUCCGUGGGCAGGUUGGCCACCUGUAGCUCAUCCCUAGCACUGAUCUAAGUCCCUCAAAUAGAGUUCAUGUGCAUCCCUUGUACCGUGAAGUACCUGGCUAAGUGUUGAGAUUGCAGAACUGAUGGAAGGCUGGGGGCGGGGACUUGGGGGAGUCCCUGACCAGAGGAGCUCACUUGUCACACUCCUCUCCUAUGUUUAGGGCUGGGCUCCUUCAGGCAAGGGACAUGCAUGAGUUGUGACCUCCAGGUAUUAAUGCAGCAUCACAGGGAGAGGCUGUCUAGGGCAGGAUAGUCAUGUACAGGCAGUUGCCAGAGUGUAAAGAAAAAAAAAGUUUUUGGGUUUUUUUGUUUGUUUGUUUUUUUAUUUUGUGGAAAACAAAAGCAGAAAAACUAAAACCCCAAACUCCAGAAAAAAUCCUAAAAAAUAUGUUUUUUCUUAAAAAAUACUGUAUGUCUCUACUCCUCUCCCUCCCUCCCAAGAGCCCUUCUUGUGUUCUUUCUUUUCUAAGUGCCCUACCCCCCCACCCCCAUGACUAUCCAUUGUUCUUGCUAUUGUACCCCCACUUCCCAAUAUCUACCCAGGAUGCGCACCCCAUGUUCUCUUACCUGGUGUCUUACUUUGUUCUCCCUCAAAUUUCAGCAAGCCUCAUACUCGCAGUCCCAUUU